GUGAGGGCCCUCUGGGUCCAACCUCCCACCCGUGUCUAUCGUACCUUGUUGCUUCGGCGGGCCCGCCGUUUCGACGGCCGCCGGGGAGGCCUUGCGCCCCCGGGCCCGCGCCCGCCGAAGACCCCAACAUGAACGCUGUUCUGAAAGUAUGCAGUCUGAGUUGAUUAUCGUAAUCAGUUAAAACUUUCAACAACGGAUCUCUUGGUUCCGGCAUCGAUGAAGAACGCAGCGAAAUGCGAUAAGUAAUGUGAAUUGCAGAAUUCAGUGAAUCAUCGAGUCUUUGAACGCACAUUGCGCCCCCUGGUAUUCCGGGGGGCAUGCCUGUCCGAGCGUCAUUGCUGCCCUCAAGCACGGCUUGUGUGUUGGGCCCCCGUCCCCCUCUCCCGGGGGACGGGCCCGAAAGGCAGCGGCGGCACCGCGUCCGGUCCUCGAGCGUAUGGGGCUUUGUCACCUGCUCUGUAGGCCCGGCCGGCGCCAGCCGACACCCAACUUUAUUUUUCUAAGGUUGACCUCGGAUCAGGUAGGGAUACCCGCUGAAUUA
rnacentral:rRNA from 1 species